UUGUUUUCACUUGCUUUUUAAAGACAGAAAGCUCAUGGUGCAAAUUGUUAUUUCCAGGGAUACAUUGGCCUGCAGGUCCCAGUUCACAUGUAGUCCCCUGCUCACCAUUGGAGAAUCAGCUCACUGCUCUCUAGAAACGUGGCGUUGGUGAACGGACCAUGCUUCCGUAGCUCUGACCUGGGCAGCUUGGACCUGGUCAUCCUCUACUGCCAUACCUUUCCCUGGGGGCUUGAACACAGAACAGGGAGAUGGACAACCACUUCAAAGAAAGACCCACCGAAUGCAGUUUCUGCUUGACUGACUGGGCCUGCAGCUCCCUUCUCCUGGGACUUAGAGGUGGCCAGAUUUAAGGCCCCUCUACUCAUCCAACUCCCUCUUCACUGGUACUCCCAAUCAAUCAAAGAACCUCAAAAUUUAAACUGAUGUGGAUGGGAAUAUGGGAAUUAGGGUGGGGGUGGGGGAUGAAGGGAAGAAAUCACUGUGCUUUGUUCGGCCUGGUGUGCAAGGAUGGUUGGUGGUUUUCCUGCAUUGUAUCUUUUCUUACUGUUUCUUUAAUAAAUGGGAUGAGAGGGC
rnacentral:lncRNA from 1 species